AUCAACUGAAGCACAGGAAGGGCUUCAGCGGUCAAGGAUGAUCACCAUGGCUUGGAUUGCCACCGACAGGAUGUUGGAAUGGUUUUGAUGAAAAAUAACCCGCUUCGGCGGGUUUUUU
rnacentral:sRNA from 1 species